ensembl:lncRNA
CUUGACUUUGGGGGUAGAGGUUGGGGAGGGCUGAGGGUGGGAAUAUGCCUCAGUUGGGUCUUCCUGGAGGACUGAGAGCCCCAGUCAACAGCUCACUUGGAAGCCUCACACCUCAGCCUUUCCCUUAAGAGGGCUCCGGUGUCUGCUGGGAGACCAGCAGGCCGAGAGGCUGUGAAGUGAAGGCUGGGGUGCCACGGUGCCUCUCCCCCUCGACACCGAUGGCGGUCACCAGCAGGAAGACACCCAGGCCUCCCGACUGAGAAGGGGUGAUCCAGACUGCCCCGGUGCCCAGGGCUGUAACUGGCCCGUGGUCCCAGCCACGGGUGGAGAUGCGUGGAGAGGCUCCAGGGGUACCCUGGGUGUGAGCGGGGCAUGGGGUAUCUGAAGAGUGGGCGAGGCGGUGGCUGUGGGCAGGCCAUCAUGCCUCUUCUGUGCGGGGGUCCAUUCAGUACUGCUGCCCCCCACCCCCUACUCUAGACCUCAGGCCUUGUCUUUCUCAUGCAGAAGGCCGGCAGGGAGACCGGGCCAGCCCUGCGUUCAGGACCUCCGUGGGGCCUGGCUCCCCUGAGGGAGGCAGAGCAUCUGUCAUUGUCUCAGGAGACUGAGGCUCGGAGGGGCCUUGCUGGAGUCCUCCCACCCCCAUCAGGCACUUCUCCUUGGGGAGCCCCUCACGAGCCCACUCUGUGUCUAUUUCUUCUCCUUUUUGAAGUGACUGUGAUACCUUAGAGCUUUGAUUUCCUAGAUCAGAGCAGAAUAAGAGAAGAUCAUUAGAAACGUGCAGGGGCAGGAAUUCCCUAGUGGCCCAGUGACUAAGACUCUGUGCUUUCAAUGCAGGGGGUCCAGGUUCGAUCCCUGGUCAAGGAAGUAGAUGCUAUAUGCUACAACUAAAGAUCCCGCUGCUGCAAUGAAGAUCAAAGAUCCUGUGUGUGGCAACUAAGACUCAGCGCAGUCACAUAAUAAAUAUUUAAAAGAAGAAGAAAUAUACAGGAGAAAGAGAAAUGGUUGCAAAAUCUAAACAUUUGCUAAGAGGGUCUGUGGUAAAGACUGUGGACUUCCCUCAUAGCUCAGUUGGUAAAGAAUCUGCGGGGAGUGCAGGAGACCCGUGUUCAAUUCCUGGAUCUGGAAGAUCCCCUGGAGAAGGAAAUGGCAACCCACUCUAGUAUUCUUGCCUGGAGAAUGCCAUGGACAGAGGAGCCUGGCAGGCUACAGUCCAUGGGGUUACAUGAGUCGGACACGAUUUAGUGACUAAACCACCACCACCGUCUGUGGUAAAGAACCCACCUGCCAAUGCAGGAGAUGCAAGAGACAUGGGUUCAAUCCCUGGGUUGGGAAGAUCCCCUGGAGGAGGGCAUGGCAACCCACCCCAAUAUUCUUGCCUGGAGAAUCCCAUGGAUGGAGGAGCCUAGCUGGUCACAGUAUAUAGGGUCAAAGAAAGUCAGACACGACUGACCACGCACACACCAAGAGAGGACCCAGAGCCACCAGGCAACCACAGGCCACCUGUGGGCACUGCCAGGUGGCUGACCCCAGGACCCACUGAAUGCCUGUCACUGCUGAAUGCCUUGGGACAUUCAGUGCAGGAGACCCAUGUUCAAUUCCUGGGUUGGGAAGAGGGGGAGGCUGCAUUUGUAGGACAUUUUGUUAAAGCAAACUGGGUAUAAAUAAGGAUUUAUGCCCACGGAUGUCUGUCGCAACUGGCCACCACCUCAGUGUUCAGCAGUGUUGGGGCUUGUUGAAAUGAAUUAUAGCACUUCCUAUGACAGAAUAUGAUGCAGCCAGUAAAUAUGACACUUAGCAAAAAAUUGUAAUUACAUAGGAAACGCUUUUGGUGUAACAUAAAAUCAGGAUAUAAAACGAUAUGUGCAUGUAUGUUAUGUCAAUAAAAAGGAAAAAGAAAAAACUAAAUGCUGUGAGCUCAACUUCAUUUAAAGACAUAUAAGGAAAAAGUGGAAAGAAAACGCCCCCAAAUUCUAACCUUAUUUAUAUCUGGCUGGUGAUUUUUAAAUUUUUAGUACUUGUUCUUUAUUGUAUUUCCAAAUUUCUACACUAAAUACUUUCAAGUUUUAAAGUUAUUUGAAAUAAAAGUGAAAACUGUAUCCUGUAUUUAAGAGAAAGUCUCAUUUCUCUGAAAAAAUGUUUAUGUGGAUGUGUAAGUUCUUCGAGUGUAUUUUAUACUCUCUAUUCUUCAGUUUGAGGCAUCAAAAAGCAGAGACAUCACUUUGCCGACAAUAGUCUGUAUAGUCAAAGCUAUGGUUUUUCCAGUAGUCAUGUACGGAUGUGAGAGUUGAACCAUAAAGAAAAUUUAGCUUUCUUCUGAAAAAUUGAUGCUUUCAAACAUCAAAAGAGUGGUGCUGGGGAGUCCCUUGGACAGCAAGGAGAUCAAACCAGUCAAUUCUAAAGGAAAUCAACCCUGAAUAUUCAUCGGAAGGACUGAUGCUGAAGCUGAAGCUCCAAAUAAUUUGGGCACCUGAUACGAUGAAACGACUCAUUGGAAAAGACCCCGAUGCUGGGAAAGAUUGAAGGCGGGAGGAAAAGAGGGAACAGGGGAUGAGAUGGUUGGAUGGCAUCACUGACUCAAUGGACACGAGUGUGGGCAAACUCAGGGAGAUAGUGAGGGACAGGGAAGCCUGGUGUGCUGCAGUCCAUGGGGUUGCAAAGAGUUGGACGUGACUUAGUGACUGAACAACAAAAGGAGCUUGAACCAGGAGAGCAUUUGACAACAAGUAACUGAAGACCCCACUAACAGAGAGAUAAUAGGAAGUCCCCGUUAGGCCAGCCAGGGCUGAUGUGGUCCAGUGAUGCUGUGGCAGAAACAGACCUCCUGUUGUCCACCCUGAAAUUGAUGCUGGAUAACCUCAGGCAGACCGGGCAGCCCAGGGCAGAGUGUGUUUGUGGGAGGCUAUGCCAGAGGAAGAGAUCUGCCCAAGGUCACACUGCUGCUCGGUGAGCUGAAUGACCAAAGGAUGGAUGGCUGCAAGGAAGGCAGGAUUAGAACCUGGCUCUUAACCCUUUUCCACACUGCCAAGUCUAGCCAUCUGGGCAUGUGAGGCCCCAGAAAACCUGGCCCUGCUGACCUACCUACUUAGCACUGAACUGCUGCAGCUCACACGCACCCACAAGUUUACUCUGUGCUUUUGCUCAUGCUCUUCCCUCUGCCUGGAUGCCUUUCCCUGCUGUCCCGCCUUCCUUGGUGUAACUUCUACUCACUGUUUGAAAAUCAGCCUCAUUUCCUCUUGGAGGCCUUCCUGACCGCCUGGCUGGGCUAGUGGUGCCUUUUCUGCACCCACAGGGUUCUGUGCUUGCUGCAUUUACCGCACUUAGAUUUCUCUGUUCCCGUGGUGACUCCCCUCUUCCCAGCCUCCGAGCCCCUUGAGGGCAGACUGUGUCAAAUUCAUCUCAGCAUCCACCUGGCCCCAGUCCAGGCACAUUUGAGCAGAAAAUCCUAGGACUGGUUAUCCCUCUGCUCCCGCGGGAGCCUUGACAAGUCAUAACCUCGUUUCCCUGCCCCAGAUGUCAUGGAGCUGGACUUCACCAGAUCCCUUCUGAGACGCAACCAUCCACAAGACAGGCAGGGCUGGCACGGGAUGGCCUGUGUUGGGUGCCUGAGAUCCAGCGGGGCAAGGGGCCCUGGGGCAGGACGCCCACG